UACCUGAAUAGAUUCAGAUAUGAAAAUAAAUCUGAAUGGAUAUUAUUCAGUCUACUUUCAUCCUUAUCGCUGCAACAACUAAAGCUGAAGAUUCUUGAUAACCCUAUUAAAUAAUACUUGGCAUGGAUCCUAAGUCAAUAGAAUUGACAUUGAUCAGCUGAUUUAAGACCCAAAGUAUCUAAAUUCAUCUUCUUGACAAAUGCCACUUAUUACCAUCUCUUGC
rnacentral:lncRNA from 1 species